UACAGAGGGGGCAAGCGUUAUUCGGAAUUAUUGGGCGUAAAGGGCGCGUAGGCGGCUUGGCAAGUGGAUGGUGAAAUCCCUCGGCUUAACCGAGGAACUGCCGUCCAAACUGCUUCGCUUGAGACCGGGAGAGGUGAGUGGAAUUCCCAGUGUAGCGGUGAAAUGCGUAGAUAUUGGGAGGAACACCAGUGGCGAAGGCAGCUCGCUGGGACGGUACUGACGCUAAGGCGCGAAAGCGUGGGGAGCGAACAGG
rnacentral:rRNA from 1 species